GGCGGUAUCUUGAAAUAGACGGAAUAUACUUAAUUUUAUUGAUUGAGGGAGUAGUGGCUUAAAUUUAAAUCCCAAGUUUGGGUUUGGGGUUUUUUCUAUGAUAAGUGUAGAUUGACGAUUUUGUUUGCUAGAGUCCUAAACAAUAUGACAAUAACUCUCUACCCCUAAACCGAAGACGAAGCUGUAGUCCUAGCCAUGUCCACCACACUCCCAUCCCUCCUAUCUCCCAACUUUUCCUUCAAAUUCAAACCCUCCCUCUCCUUCCCACGCCAACAAUUCCCAACCACCACUAAUUUCCAACCUUCCAAGCCUCAAUUCACGCGUAACCUUAUUGGGUUUUCUCCUAAACCCCUCAGAUUCACCUCGCUGAAGCAUUUUGCCGUAAAUGAGGAUACAAGUGUUGUCUCUGGGUUUGAUGAGGCUCGAAAGUCCAGCACUAUGCCGGGACGGUUUAGGGAUCACAUUAAAGAAGCUCCGGAUCCUCCUCUCAAGUGGCCGUGGUUUGUGGCUAUGGCUUUUCUCAUCUAUGCAUGGAGAGCUGUCCUUUUUGAACUGUCAAACUGGAAGAAUGCUGCAUUUGGAAUAGUUCGAUUCAUUGGAUAUGUCUUCAAAUAUGUUUUUGCUUUAGUUUACCAAUUCAUAGGAAAUCCAAUCACUUUUACAAUCAGAUCCAUUGAAGAUUUGAUUUACGGCAUUCAGGCUUUUUACUCUUGGAUAAUUACUAGUGCCCCUGUACCAGACCUGACCGUUGUUAUCUUUUUGGCCUCCAUUGUUCUAGCUAUUGCUGAAACUACUGUUCCUAAUUGUAUCAGCAACCAACCUUAUGUUCUGACCGUAACUGGUCUCAUUGGCUAUGCUGCUGUUAGAGGCGUUAUUUCUGAACCACUGUUCUGGACCCUUUUGAUUGGGAUCUAUGGUUUUUCAAAAUUUAUCAAAAGGAGAGAUGAUGUUUCUUCUGCAAUGCCUGUUGCAGCUGUACUUGCUGCCGUUGGAGAGCCUUGGGUUAGAUUUGUGGUGAUAAUUUCAUAUACGGCCUUGGCUAUUUAUCAGUAUUCAAAAAUGCUCUUAGAAGGGAAAGACGUUGAAGAGAUUGAACGACAGGGGAAGAAGCUUCCGGUUCCGCUUUUUCUUGCAGCUUUAGCAAUUGGCUUACGCGUUGCUGCUAAGUGGGCCGGGUAUCGGCACUUGACAUGGAUGAUAGUAUGACCAAUGAUAGGUAGUUAAUCAGGGAAUGAAGUUUGGUGGUCUGGAAAGUUGAGAUGCACGACCUAUGACAGAUAUUUGUAGAAGAACCGUUCUGCUCUGCUGUUGCUCUCUUAUGGAGAUGCGGUUUUUGAGAGAGAAAAAGCCAAAGUAAUCUUGUUUGAACUUCAAACCAGACCUCAUAUUAAUAUCACUUUCUAGUGAGUACAAUACCUUCAUGUUGUGGUCCAAACCAAGGCCACAAAAGCUUGCAUAACAAGAUCAAUCAAAAAGAUGUCAAGCUCAAACUUUUGAGAAAGAGCACAGUUUUUGCUUGGUUUGCCUUUUGUUUCUGUACUACUGCUUUUCAAGCAGAUAUGGCUUUAAUAGAUGUUAUGUUACCCAAUUUGCUGAGUCAUUUUCAUGCAUCACAGCCAAAUUGAUGUGAUUCUACAAAUUGCAUCUUUUGUAGGUAGGCAUGCAUAUGGGUAAUAUUAAUAUAUACUCGGUCAUUGUAAUGAAUAUGUACUUGUUAAUGGUGCUACAUUUCAGUAAUAUAUAUACACACACACCGAGAUAACAUAGAUGAUGCACACUAAUGUUUUUUUUUUUCUGCGAGCAUUUUGCUUAUGGACCUUACAUGUGUGUAACCUAGAUGGAUAGCAUAGAGAGCCACUUUAGUCAUCUGUGUAACAUUACUCUCUGGUUUCCCAGGAUAUGUUCUUGUCUUUGCCUAAAAUACCUCUUUGGGUUGCAAUUCCUUAUAUGACAAUGAAUCUAUUUGCUAUA